GCAGUGUCCAGGCCUGAAAGCUCUUCAUUUUACGUCGGGUUGAUUAUUGGUCUGGUUUGUGGAAUCGUACUUCUUCUUCUUCUGUUCCUUUUGUAUCGCCACAGAUCGUCUAUCAAUUUGUGCGUCAUCAGGCAAAGUCAGUCUGAGAGAACCAAUCAGCGCUCUGACACAAAUCAAGUGGUUAACCAGAAUGAGGCUCAAGGUGGAGUAUACUCCACUUUUCUCCAUGGUGAGCACUGACACUUAUCUUGAUUUUAUCUAUUCACACUUUACUCCAUCACUUUAGCCAAAACUGAAAUACCUCAUCAGAGGUACAUAUUCCCCCAGAUGAGGUGUCAGAAUGACUUUGGUGAUUCCCAGGCUUCUCCUUUAGGGUGGCCAUGAGGUUAGCAUAAAUGUUUUACCAACCAUAGAAUGGAGUGCCAUGGAUUUUUGUACAGAUCUUGAGAGGAUUAAUCU